AUAUCUUGUCUCAAAGAUUAAGCCAUGCAUGUCUAAGUAUAAGCAAUUUAUACGGUGAAAACUGCGAAUGGCUCAUUAAAUCAGUUAUCGUUUAUUUGAUAGUACCUUACUACAUGGAUACCUGUGGUAAUUCUAGAGCUAAUACAUGCUGAAAACCUCGACUUCGGAAGGGGUGUAUUUAUUAGAUAAAAAACCAAUGCCCUUCGGGGCUCCUUGGUGAAUCAUAAUAACUUAACGAAUCGCAUGGCCUUGCGCCGGCGAUGGUUCAUUCAAAUUUCUGCCCUAUCAACUUUCGAUGGUAGGAUAGUGGCCUACCAUGGUGGCAACGGGUAACGGGGAAUUAGGGUUCGAUUCCGGAGAGGGAGCCUGAGAAACGGCUACCACAUCCAAGGAAGGCAGCAGGCGCGCAAAUUACCCAAUCCCGACACGGGGAGGUAGUGACAAUAAAUACUGAUACGGGGCUCUUUUGGGUCUCGUAAUUGGAAUGAGUACAAUCUAAAUCCCUUAACGAGGAACAAUUGGAGGGCAAGUCUGGUGCCAGCAGCCGCGGUAAUUCCAGCUCCAAUAGCGUAUAUUAAAGUUGUUGCAGUUAAAAAGCUCGUAGUUGAACCUUGGGUUCGGCCGGCCGGUCCGCCUCACCGCGAGUACUGUCCGGCCGUUCCUUUCCUUCUGGGGAAUCCCAUGGCCUUCACUGGCUGUGGGGGGAACCAGGGACUUUUACUGUGAAAAAAUUAAAGUGUUCAAAGCAGGCCUUUGCUCGAAUACAUUA
rnacentral:rRNA from 1 species